rnacentral:rRNA from 1 species
GACGUAGGGCGCGAGCGUUGUCCGGAUUUAUUGGGCGUAAAGAGCUCGUAGGCGGCUUGUCGCGUCGUCCGUGAAAACCUGCAGCUCAACUGCAGGCUUGCGGUCGAUACGGGCAGGCUGGAGUUCGGUAGGGGAGACUGGAAUUCCUGGUGUAGCGGUGAAAUGCGCAGAUAUCAGGAGGAACACCGGUGGCGAAGGCGGCAUCCUGGACCGGCAUUGACGCUGAGGCGCGAAAGCCAGGGGAGCAAACGGG